rnacentral:rRNA from 1 species
ACGCUCGACACCUACGGGAGGCAGCAGUGGGGAAUAUUGCACAAUGGGGGAAACCCUGAUGCAGCGACGCCGCGUGAAGGAAGAAGUAUUUCGGUAUGUAAACUUCUAUCAGCAGGGAAGAAAAUGACGGUACCUGAGUAAGAAGCACCGGCUAAAUACGUACCAGCAGCCGCGGUAAUCUGAGCGGGCUGGCAAGGC